rnacentral:rRNA from 1 species
UACGGGGGGAGCAAGCGUUGUUCGGAUUUACUGGGCGUAAAGCGCGCGUAGGCGGUUUUGUAAGUCGGGUGUGAAAUCCCCAGGCUCAACCUGGGAACUGCAUUCGAGACUGCAUAACUGGAGUAUGGGAGAGGACAGCGGAAUUUCCGGUGUAGCGGUGAAAUGCGUAGAUAUCGGAAGGAACAUCAGUGGCGAAGGCGGCUGUCUGGCCCAAUACUGACGCUCAUGUGCGAAAGCGUGGGGAGCAAACAGG